rnacentral:lncRNA from 1 species
CCUCUGGCGUGCCUUGUGCCUUGUUCAGUCCUGGGACAGGAUAAGUGGGGCGAGCCGUGGCCAGAUACUAGGCUUAGUCUGUUGCAUGUCCACCCCUCCCCGCCUCUCCUGGAACAUGCUCUGUCCUGCACGGAGCCUGCCUCUCCAGUGUCACUAGGACCUGCACAGCACCCUAGUACCAGGGUGCACUGGCACAGCCCCUAUCUGAACGUCAGUGGGACCUGGCUUCUGGCUGCUGCAGGGGACACCUGGCCCCAGCCAGACUCUAGUGCCCAUAACUGUCUUCCUGGGGUCCUGAGACCCCCACCCCAAGCUUCAGCCACCACCAGCCUCUAGCUACCACCCUUUCCCUUUCACACCCCCCCCCCUGCCAUCCCUGCGGCUGCUGCUUCCAUGUCAUUUGCCUUUGAAGUGCUGAGAGAGCCUAACCACAGUUGGCAGUGUCCUCUGUGGGAAUGCAGAGUGGCCCCACCCGUGAGUCACCAAUGUGAGUCCAUUGACACCUGCUGACUGGCUACUCUUGCCCACCAACCCUGCCAGACCACCCAGGCUGUGUGGAUCUUGACAGUGUGCACUGUGCAACCUGCCGCUGCUCAUAGCAGCUUCUGGAAGCCAACUCAUGAACCAGCCAGUGCAGAGCCAGAGGGAGUCUGCUCAGGGUUUCAAGGAACAGGGAUGUGUGCCUCCACACCCCUUGCAGCCAUCAGCAGGGGCAUCUGGAUAAGCUGUGUUCCAGGUGACUCUCUGGAAGACGCCCCCAGAUUCCCUGGAGAAGUGUGUGGUGUCUUCUCUCAUGGCAGGUUUUUGGUGAAGUGUGUCAGUCCACCUGCA